GAUGAACGCUGGCGGCGUGCCUAAUACAUGCAAGUCGAGCGAACGGACGAGAAGCUUGCUUCUCUGAUGUUAGCGGCGGACGGGGGAGUAACACGUGGAUAACCUCCCUAUAAUACUGGGAUAAUUUCGGGAAACCGGAGCUAAUACCGGAUAAUCUCUUGAACCGCAGGGUUCAAAAGUGAAAGACGGUCUUGCUGUCACUUAUAGAUGGUUCCGCGCUGCAUUAGCUAGUUGGUAAGGUAACGGCCUUCCAAGGCAACGAUGUAUAGCCGACCUGAGAGGGUGAUCGGCCACACGAGAGCGGGGACACGGUCCAGACGCCUGCGGGAGGCAGCAGUAGGGAAUCUUCCGCAAUGGGCGAAAGCCUGACGGAGCAACGCCGCGUGAGUGAUGAAGGUCUUCGGAUCGUAAAACUCUGUUAUUAGGGAAGAACAUAUGUGUAAGUAACUGUGCACAUCGUGACGGUACCGAAUCAGAAAGCCACGGCUAACUACGUG
rnacentral:rRNA from 1 species